rnacentral:rRNA from 1 species
GUACUGUGCGAACGUUAUUCGGAAUCACUGGGCUUAAAGGGUGCGUAGGCGGCGAGGGCAAGUAGGAUGUGAAAUCUUCCGGGUUUCUCAACCGGAAAACUGCGUUCUAAACUGCCUGGCUUGAGUGAGAUAGGGGUGUGCGGAACUUUCAGUGGAGCGGUGAAAUGUGUUGAUAUUGGAAGGAACGCCGUUGGCGAAAGCGGCACACUGGGUCUCAACUGACGCUGAGGCACGAAAGCCAGGGUAGCGAACGGGAUUAGAUACCCCGGUAGUCCUGGCUGUAAACGUUGAGCACUAGUCGGGAGGGGCUUCGGCCCAUCCGGACGCAGCGAAAGCGAUAAGUGCUCCGCCUGGGGAGUAUGGUCGCAAAGGCUG